rnacentral:lncRNA from 1 species
UCCCUCAGGCACCCAUUCCCUGCCCACCACUCCGUUCUGCUCCUUGCAGAAGAAUGAGCGAGAAACGAAGUGGCUGGAACAGUAUCAGGCACAGCAGCCGAAGGCUGCCCUGAGACGGUUCCAGGUCCUGCUGCAGAAGAUGAAGGCGCUGGAGGACACCGCACGGCACCAUGAGAAGGUGCUAGAAAAGAUGGAGCAGGUGCUGGAGGACCAGCUGCUGCAGGAGAGAAAGGAGCACCGCGCCCCCCAGCAGGCGGCUGGGAAAGCCGCACGCAGGAUCUCCUGGCCAGUACUACAGACAAGUUUAACCUCAUGGCCAAGAUGGAGCAGGUGCAGAGCCGUAUAAAAGCCAG